rnacentral:rRNA from 1 species
AGUGAACGCUGGCGGUAGGCCUAACACAUGCAAGUCGAACGGCAGCACAGGAGAGCUUGCUCUCUGGGUGGCGAGUGGCGGACGGGUGAGGAAUACAUCGGAAUCUACUCUGUCGUGGGGGAUAACGUAGGGAAACUUACGCUAAUACCGCAUACGACCUACGGGUGAAAGCAGGGGACCUUCGGGCCUUGCGCGAUUGAAUGAGCCGAUGUCGGAUAGCUAGUUGGCGGGGUAAAGGCCCACCAAGGCGACGAUCCGUAGCUGGUCUGAGAGGAUGAUCGGCCACACUGGAACUGGGACACGGUCCAGACUCCUACGGGAGGCAGCAGUGGGGAAGAUUGGACAAUGGGCGCAAGCCUGAUCCAGCCAUACCGCGUGGGUGAAGAAGGCCUUCGGGUUGUAAAGCCCUUUUGUUGGGAAAGAAAUCCAGCUGGCUAAUACCCGGUUGGGAUGACGGUACCCAAAGAAUAAGCACCGGCUAACUUCGUGCCAGCCGCCGCGGUAA